UUCCUUGUCGGGUAAGUUCCGACCUGCACGAAUGGCGUAAUGAUGGCCAGGCUGUCUCCACCCGAGACUCAGUGAAAUUGAACUCGCUGUGAAGAUGCAGUGUACCCGCGGCAAGACGGAAAGACCCCGUGAACCUUUACUAUAGCUUGACACUGAACAUUGAGCCUUGAUGUGUAGGAUAGGUGGGAGGCUUUGAAGUGUGGACGCCAGUCUGCAUGGAGCCGACCUUGAAAUACCACCCUUUAAUGUUUGAUGUUCUAACGUGGACCCGUAAUCCGGGUUGCGGACAGUGUCUGGUGGGUAGUUUGACUGGGGCGGUCUCCUCCUAAAGAGUAACGGAGGAGCACGAAGGUUGGCUAAUCCUGGUCGGACAUCAGGAGGUUAGUGCAAUGGCAUAAGCCAGCUUGACUGCGAGCGUGACGGCGCGAGCAGGUGCGAAAGCAGGUCAUAGUGAUCCGGUGGUUCUGAAUGGAAGGGCCAUCGCUCAACGGAUAAAAGGUACUCCGGGGAUAACAGGCUGAUACCGCCCAAGAGUUCAUAUCGACGGCGGUGUUUGGCACCUCGAUGUCGGCUCAUCACAUCCUGGGGCUGAAGUAGGUCCCAAGGGUAUGGCUGUUCGCCAUUUAAAGUGGUACGCGAGCUGGGUUUAGAACGUCGUGAGACAGUUCGGUCCCUA
rnacentral:rRNA from 1 species